ACCAGCUUCAUAUUUCUCUCUAUAUCACUUGGGUAUUAUUCUGUUAGACCUGAGAACUAAGGGCGCAUCCUAGAGGUGUAGAAGCUGUUCGGCUUUUAAAUGGAUUUGACGAGAGUUUUAUUUGUUUUCUGCACUCCACCCGUUGACAUUUUCCUUAGCCGUGGUGCCGUACAAGUUGCACUUUGGUGCAAGUUGCGUUGUCAAGGACCAAAACGACAGCCUCGUCAGAGUAACAAUAACCUCAUUUGAUAACAACUUAGAUACUAUAUUGUCA
rnacentral:misc_RNA from 1 species